GACUCCACGAAGUUGGAUUCGCUAGUAAUCGCGCAUCAGCCAUGGCGCGGUGAAUACGUUCCCGGGCCUUGUACACACCGCCCGUCAAGCCAUGGGAGCCGGGGGCGCCUGAAGUCCGGGACCGCGAGGACCGGCCUAGGGCGAAACUGGUGACUGGGGCUAAGUCGUAACAAGGUAUC
rnacentral:rRNA from 1 species